CGGUCACUUGAGCGAAGGGCGGAAGGCGGCGGGUUUAUCCUCCGCGCGGGCAGCCUGGCUUUCUCCGGCGCCGCGGAUGCCGCCCGCGAGCGUCACACCCCUCGAGCUGUACAAAAGCUUAUCGUGUGUAGAGAGGCGAUCGUGCGGUGUUUUCCUUCUACCCCCGGAUGAACUAAUCCGGCAUAAUUGUUAUAGUGCCACCCCCGUGGCUAUGACGGCAAAGUUUAGUAACCUUUCCGAGAUAAUCCGCGGGAAGCUGUUAGCUUUGUACGUAUUCAGUAUGACUAUUCUGGAGUUUGUUUGUUUUUUGUGUUUUUUUUAAAACUUCAUGAAAGUUUUGGCUUAACAAAAACAAAAACCCUGUUAACUCCGAUCUAAAACUGGACUCUGCAACCCUGAACGCAUGUUAGAUUUUAGAAGCCUUACAAGACUUUUCUUACAAAGCAUGGCUAAAGAGUCGACAAGGAAUCCCAAAUACUUGCAACACUGCCUUCACAUUCACAUUCUGGUAUUCUUAACUUAUCUUUUGGGUUUCCUCCUAGUGUAGUUUAUCCCUCUAAUGAAAUUUAUAUGACACACUAUUCUAUUUUGUUAAUUUUAAAGAACCAGGUUUAUGUUGCUGUAAAUAAUUGUUUUUGACAAUUUGAUUUUGCAGUUGCUGAAAAGAUAACCCACAAGAUUCGCCUGAGGAAAGGUGAAGAACCAGCAGAACAAUCCCAUGCAGUUGGGUGGGAUCUUAUAUUUCAAACAACGUGCCUUCCCUGCACCUAAAAAAGAAAUACGGUCCUCCUAAAUUAUGUGUUUAAUAAACCUAGGUAGAAUUAUACUUAUCAUUAUUGUAUGAGCCUCUGUCUAAUUACUUUCCAUAUUCUUGGGUUGAAAAAGAAAAAUGAAAAAAGUUUUAAAA